GCAGGAUUGGUGUAGUGGCUAUCACGUGUCGUUCACAAGUUUGUGAGCUACAGCUCAGACUCUGAGUCCCGACAAGGUCGCGAGUUCGAUCCUCGCAUCCUGUA
rnacentral:tRNA from 1 species